rnacentral:rRNA from 1 species
GAUUGACCUCGGAUCAGGUAGGGAUACCCGCUGAACUUAAGCAUAUCAAUAAGCGGAGGAAAAGAAACCAACAGGGAUUGCCUCAGUAACGGCGAGUGAAGCGGCAACAGCUCAAAUUUGAAAUCUGGCUCUAGGGCCCGAGUUGUAAUUUGUAGAGGAUGCUUCGGGUGCGGCACCGUUCUAAGUUCCUUGGAACAGGGCGUCAUAGAGGGUGAGAAUCCCGUACGUGACCGGUCGCCAACCCCAUGUGAAGCUCCUUCGACGAGUCGAGUUGUUUGGGAAUGCAGCUCAAAAUGGGUGGUAAAUUUCAUCUAAAGCUAAAUACCGGCCAGAGACCGAUAGCGCACAAGUAGAGUGAUCGAAAGAUGAAAAGCACUUUGGAAAGAGAGUUAAAAAGUACGUGAAAUUGUUGAAAGGGAAGCGCUUGCAACCAGACUCGCUCGGGGGUGAUCAGCCGUCCUUUUGGGCGGUGCACUUUCCCCCGGUCGGGCCAGCAUCGGUUCGGGCGGUCGGACAAAGGCUUCGGGAACGUAGCUCCUCUCGGGGAGUGUUAUAGCCCGGGGUGUAAUGCGGCCAGCCCGGACCGAGGACCGCGCUUU